AAUAAACUGGGAUUUUAAAGAACAUUUUGUACCAAACGUACACAACCCCAUAUUUAAAGGGUUUUCCGUGUAAUAGUCUCAACACAUGUGUACUUUUUAAAAAUCAUCAUUCAGGUAUAUUUAGUGUCCUCUACGUUUCGUGUCUAGUCCUUGGUGUAUUUGAUUUAUUCUGUGUCACAUCAUCGACCCAACUCAAAACACCAAAUUGUACAUUAAGAGAACUGGAACUGGCAUAAAAUCGGUGGAGAAGCUCGAUGUUGGAUUUUGGAGUUCGUUUGACGAGCUUGGGUUCAUAUCUGACUCGUUGUGGCAGCGUUACGUCAACCGGUACGCACUUCAACGACGACUCCGUGCGUUACCGAUUCCUAUCUUGACACGGUGCGCUCCUCUUUGGAUGGACGUAUACUGGGCGUGGAUCAGCGUCACGCCAUAAAACCUACACUUGAGGAUAGGUGUACUGUCAUCUGUCAAAAAUGCAGGCGAGCAAGCAAAAGCUGAGCCAACAAGCUACUGAAAAGAGAUCAAAUGAGUGAGAAAAACCUCAUUCAGAAGACUUGGUUUAGUUCAGUCACAGGGAGUUACCGCUCUCACGCAGCCCUGCUGCCAAGACUGCUGACCUCUGGGCUGGGGGUUACUUAGCAGAUCAUCUCCUGUCUGAAAAUAGAUUGGAGGCUAUCUGUCAUUGUUGUGUCAGUGGCAACAGGUUUCUUUUUGUUAAAUACAUUUAUAAUGUUGUUUGGCAUGAAAUAAAUGAUGUGAGAAACAUAUUGCUCUGCAUAUUUGCAUUUCUCACGCUAUGCAGCACAUUUGCAUGGACGGGUGAUUCCCCUUCAUAGAGGAGAAAACAACAUGAUUCAUUCCCUUAUAAAAUGACUGGAUGAGUGCUCAGCAAUCUUGUGGGAAAUAACAGAUGAUGAUGGUUAGAGAUGUCACUGGGGUGGGUGUUGGUCGGGCAAAAUGCUGAAAAGGUUGAAGCACGUUUAUACCAGUUUCUGCCCCAGCAACUUCAUCAUAAUGAACUGUCCUUGUACUGCAUCUGUGACCUCUGUUACUGUCUAAGUCAGAUCUGUGGUCAAUCAGUGGUAAUGGCCCUCUGAGAUGGUUUUUUUUUUCAGGUUGAUUAAAGCAAGCUCCUCCUCAGUGCGUUCUGGGUAGGGUCCAGCCUCGACAGGAUAAGCAGCAGGUACAGAGACUGAAUGGAUGAAUAGGGAGGGAGAGAGGGUAAGAGAGAAAAAGCAAAUAAUGUGGUUAAUAAAAUCAAUUAAUUAGUUAUUAGAAUAAUUCUCAUUAUGUUGUAUCAUACAUUUUUUGCUGUGCAGGCUCUGCACUCCAGCACAUUGGCUUUGAAAUGAAACAGUGAGGCAAAAGCAUUUUUUUUUGUUUUGUUUUUAAAUUAGGAUGAUGUUUAAAUACCAUGGAUGAACAGCAUAUGAUCUGUGUAUAAACAGGAUUAUGAUUCUUGUACAGACUGUCAACAAAAUGGACAUAAAUACCCUCAAACAUACCCAAAGGUGACAGUUUGCACUUAAACCUGAGUUGCUGUUUAACUUGAAAUCAAACACGCUUGAGGAAAAACAGCAAAAAUGUAAUUUUCUUGUUUUGUUACUUGUAUCAUUUUAACAAGAUCUCAUGUGAGCUGUGUGAAGCAACCCUUACUACAACCUUUUUAAAAAAUGGAUUAAGAAAACUAGAUUAAAACCCAGGAUGGAAUGAAAUGAGAGACUCCCCCUAUUCUUAGGACUAGAUGGUACAUCCCAGUCUCUCCUCCUCUCUCUCUCAUUCUCCUCCCUCCUGCUUUCAGUGUCCUCCAUCUCUCCGCUGUCUCUCAUUUUCUUAUAUUAAGGACAUUCUGACUUCCAGAGACUGCUGUGGUUCCUCCUCCAUCUGUUACUCUUGUAAUCUCUUCAGAGCUGUUGGAGAGUGAAGCAGCACAGAGCUGACCUUAUAAAGACUCCUCCCGACCAGACCACACCUCUGUCCCCGAGUCCAUGGAAGCUAAGGCCAAGUCCGGGGCUCCAGCGCCCAAGGCAGCAUCUAAAGCGGAGAAGAAGGAGCCGGCAGCCCCACGCAAGGCCGACCCUGCGCCUGCAGCCCCUGAGCCUGAGCAUCCUCCUUCCCAGGAUGGGGCAGCAGAAGCUGAAGCUGCAGCGGCAGGUGACGAGGCUGCGGCCUCAGGCACAGACUCUCUGGAACACCUGAAGCCCUUUCUCAUUGGUGGCGCCGUUAUUGCUGCAGGAGCCAUCUUGCUGGGAGUGUUGUUACUGGCGAGGAGAAAUUAGAGCAUCAUUGCUGAUUGGUUCACAGACUACCAUGGUACAGAUGGGGGAUGGGGGCCACUGUGCAAAUUACGUUGUGUUUUUUUGGUCUUUUUUUGGCCUGCUUUCACUCGUGGUGAAUCAAACCAUUCAAGUUUUGAUCAAGGCUGUAUAUGGAGCAUAAUUACACAUAGCAUAUGCAUGAAGUUGCUUCAAAACUGCAUCUGAACUGUAAUAAUCUAUUUCUUAAGAAAAAAAAACUCACACUGUAGUACUGAGCUCUAAAGCCAAAAAUCUAUACAGGUAGCUUACUCAACUGCUUCAUCUUGUUUAAUCUAGUUUGUACAAAUAUUGACAUGAUCUUGCCAUAUUUGUACAUUCUUGCACUGGAAAUGAGCCUGGUUCACUUUGCUAAAAGAUAAUGAAAAACUAUAUUCACAAUGUUGAAACGUAGAGAUAUUAAUACUGGCAAUCAGAGUUGUUCUAGGUUUUAUUUUACUUUUAAAUAAGAGGGACAGAAAGAACAGGCCUGAAAGCAGCUGGGAAUAUGCAUUAUAAUGUAUUUGGCUAAAUCAAUGCCUAACCAAACCCAAAUAGAGAACGGCACAGUGCAAUUUAAAGAAUCUUUUUUUUUUAGAGAUAGAAAGUAUAAGCAUGCAGUCGUGUAGUCGAUGGGAUGUAGGAGGUUGUUGGAGAGAAAACCAGGUACAGUGUGUGGCAGAGAAGAAUAAUGAAGUUACUUCUUGCUGUAGAAUAAGAAAGAGUUUUAUUUUACUGUCAAAUGAUGUCAGAGAUCAAUAACCUUUCAUGUCUUACACAAUAGACACAGUCGUGCUGGUUCAAUCUGUUUACAUCUUACAGUAGAUACUUAGCUGUAGCAGCCAUUAGUGUUGCCAUAUCAGGUUUAAAACCUGCUGCCAAAACAUGGGAAUUGUUUCCGUCUUCGCCGUGCACCCCUUAUGUGGACAAAUAUCUUGUUUUUGAAACCUCAUAAAUAACAAGGUACAACUAUAACGUAAUGAGAGCAUCCUAGGUUGCUAAUACAAUGACAGCGAGGUGUAGAUGAACUACUGUUGUAUAGUUUACUCACCAGAAAAAAAAAAAUGUUAAGCAGCCACAAUUUUGUUGCUGCAUACACUCGCCUGUACAGCUGUACACAAUAUUGUCCACUCACAUGUAAAGCUCAUGGGGAUGUUCCUGUUGCAUACGUAGAUAGCAGAAAGACCGUUCUGAGUGUGAAACACACCUUUACUUAUUUUAGUUGUGAGGGUAUGUGUGAACACAUUACCAACCACAUAUAUUGUACCAACAUACCACAGUCAACACCCCAAACACAUCCAAAGGAUAGUAUGCCAACACCAAAACAAACUUCACCUUACAUUGUACGAUACAGUGUACCAAAAAAAAAAAGAAAAGAAAAAUCCUAUUUUCAUAAAUUCAACAGCGUAUAAAUGCAAUAAUUCAGAUAGGAUUCCUCAUUUAGCACAUGUGCUGUAGCAAGUUAAAUUACAUAAAUGAUGAUGUAAUAAUAAUGUUGGUGAUUAUGAUGUAUAGUGAUGGUAAUGACGGAGAUGUUACAGAUGAUGAUGAUGAUGAUGUUUUUCAUGGUGACUGUGAUGAUGAUAAUGAUGGUUAUGAUAUAUUUUUGAUAUAUUUCUAACAUAUUGUCCUUAUGCACACUCCCCUCUGACCCCAAACUCCUCAAUGUAAAAAAAGAAAGAGGCUGUAAUCCAACCUUUAUUAAAGGCAGUGAACCAGCCCAAGUGAGUAUUUCUUACAUACAUAACAACUUCACUCUUUAUUUAAUGUUAUUCAGAAUUAUAUAUUUGCAAAUAGAGUUUCAACUCUAUGGAUUAACUAGAGGUGAAAUUGUCUUUCGGGUAAACUGAUCCUUCAUUUGAGUUUGUGUAUUUUGCAGUGUCAGACAAUAUAGUAAUAAAGAUUUAUGUCAUGAUCUUAA